AGAGACAGCAGCAGCCGCGGGAAUACGGAGGGUGCAAGCGUUAAUCGGAAUUACUGGGCGUAAAGCGCACGCAGGCGGUUUGUUAAGUCAGAUGUGAAAUCCCCGGGCUCAACCUGGGAACUGCAUUUGAAACUGGCAAGCUAGAGUCUCGUAGAGGGGGGUAGAAUUCCAGGUGUAGCGGUGAAAUGCGUAGAGAUCUGGAGGAAUACCGGUGGCGAAGGCGGCCCCCUGGACGAAGACUGACGCUCAGGUGCGAAAGCGUGGGGAGCAAACAGGAUUAGAUACCCCUGUAGUCACUGUCUCUUAUAC
rnacentral:rRNA from 1 species